CGGGACGGAGUUUCUUUCAAUGUCCUGGGGAGAAAAAACUAUCGGCUGCUGUUAAUAGCACAAGUAAUCUACUGACACGAGAGCAUAGACGAACACUUCUGAGUGAUUCUUGUUCAUCAUCCAUGGAUAACGCUGUGGCUACUCCUGCUAAGCAGGCAAAACCUGAUUUUACUUCAGCAGCACAGAAAGCGUCUGAAGCUGGCUGCAUUCACCAAUCCACACAGCAGGUGAAUCCACUUGGCUAAGAGUCCCUGACUACUAGGACCUCCAAGCCUGUGGUCAGCUCUUGCAUUGGGCGGGUGCAGAACAGAGAGUGA